UAGGCUAUCAGUUAAGGCUGGGUUAAAAUAAUUGAUUCUCCAAUUAAUACCGACCUUUGCUUGAGUGAUCUGAUAUUGAUUCAUAAUAUCCAGAAUCAAUCUUUUAAUAUAUGCCUUUUCACCAUGGAAGUAAAAAGUACUUUAAAG